rnacentral:rRNA from 1 species
UACAGAGGUCUCAAGCGUUGUUCGGAUUCAUUGGGCGUAAAGGGUGUGUAGGUGGCGCCGUAAGUCGGGUGUGAAAUUUCGGAGCUUAACUCCGAAACUGCAUUCGAUACUGCGGUGCUUGAGGACUGGAGAGGAGACUGGAAUUCAUGGUGUAGCAGUGAAAUGCGUAGAGAUCGUAAGGAAGACCAGUGGCGAAGGCGAAUCUCUGGACAGUUACUGACACUGAGGCUCGAAGGCCAGGGGAGCAAACGGG